rnacentral:lncRNA from 1 species
AAUUGCUUUACCAUGCACCGAAUUUAGAAAUAGCAGUUAAAUGCCUUUUCUACUACCAUAAAAGAUCUCCCAGACAGUAACACACUUUUUUACGUGGGCAAAAAGAAAAAAAUAACGAAUUUACAUGACUCAGAUUAGCUACAUACACUAUGAUAGCAGAACAGGGG